GCUAACAAACUAAAAAAUUAGGACUAUAUUUCGAUUAUAGUUUUUAGGAAAAUUUCCUUGUUAGUU
rnacentral:tRNA from 1 species